AACGUAGGGUCCGAGCGUUAUCCGGAUUUACUGGGCGUAAAGCGCGUUCAGGCGGUUCGGCAAGUCGGGCAUGAAAUCUCUCGGCUCAACUGGGGAGGGUCACUCGAUACUGAUCGACUCGAAGGCAGGAGAGGGUAGUGGAAUUCCCGGUGUAGUGGUGAAAUGCGUAGAUAUCGGUAGGAACACCAGUGGCGAAGGCGACUACCUGGCCUGUUCUUGACGCUGAGGCGCGAAAGCUAGGGGAGCAAACGGG
rnacentral:rRNA from 1 species